rnacentral:rRNA from 1 species
UCCCUCAGUAACGGCGAGUGAAGCGGGAACAGCUCAGACUGAAAAUCCUUGAGUGGAGUUGUAGUCUGUCGAAGCUCAGUCAACGCUAGCAGCAGGCUAAGUCCCUCGGAACAGGGCGCCUGAGAGGGUGACAGCCCCGUAUUUGCCGGCUGCUAUUGAAAACAGCGUGUACGACGAGCUUUCAACGAGUCGAGUUGCUUGGGAUUGCAGCUCAAAGUGGGUGGUAAAUUCCAUCUAAAGCUAAAUAACGGUGGGAGACCGAUAGCGAACAAGUACCGUGAGGGAAAGAUGAAAAGAACUUUGAAAAGAGAGUUAAAAAGUACCUGAAAUUGCUGAAAUGAAAGCGUAGUGAAGCAGUGUUGGGUUGCAUUCAUAUCUUCGUCCGCUUGCGGGCGAGGUGACGUGGUGUGACCGAGUUAGGGUGGGUUUGUUGCGCGGGAGAGGGCUACCAAGCUGACUCAGCGAGGUGGAGUACCUGUCGUGCGAUGGACCUGUCAUGUAUAUUCAUACCCCUGACGAAAUGCUUCUCUACAACCCGUCUUGAAA